GGGCUCCCAGCAUUAUUACAGUACAAAUAAUAAAAUAAUACAGCCUUGGUGUGAGCUGAUUGUUACUGCUCAAAAGCAAUACAGCAGAUAUUUUUUAUCUCACAGGAAAAAGUUUUCACUGAGACAAAGAGAGAAUUAUCACUUCAUGAAUAAACAACUGUAUAGAUUUUUCAGAUAAAUAAAGCAGAGAUUGCAAAGGGCUUUCCAGGCAUAGUAUAAUUUCUGUUGUUAAGUUGCUCUAAAGGACACUAGGUUCCUUGCCAUUUUACCUCAAGAAUAUAUUUCUCUGUCUUUGGGGAAAUUUGUUGUCCACCUUGGUGAAGUAUGGUUGGGUUUUAGAGCUGUUAUGAAUCUUGUACAGGAAACAUGGGAACAGUUCUGAUAUAUGACAGAUGUAGUGCAACUACUAUGAUGAAAACCAUUCAAGGAACUCAUAUUUUUUCUUUCUCCUCUUCUGUGUUCAGAGAACCCUUCACUGUGUAUCAUCAGUCUGGAAUUACAGAAAUGGAUGUCAGAAAACUCAGAAAACAUCACUGGUUCCAGCUCAUCCCUCAUGUAACUCCAUGGAUUUGGAUGAGAUUAUACCAGGAGUAAGCUAAGCCCAGUGAUCUUCACUGAGCCUGCUUGACUUCAUGGGAUUCAGCAUGAGGAUUUGUAAUGCUAAACUGUCAGCGGAGGCCAAAGAAUUUUGCCUUGGUAUCCUGAUGAGAUGCUAGGUCACCUGGAGCUGCCACUUGCAACCAUUUCUGCACCAUCCCACCUUGCCCUUUCUUCCUUGCACUCCUGUCCUGUCCUGAAAAUGAAAAGCAUAACAGAAACAAGUAA